GGAGGAAAAUAUGAGGUCUGGUAGGUAGGAGGGGACAGGGUGGGCGAAUUGACAGGAGAAGUCAGGAAAGCACAGCAGAAGCCAAAGAACUCUCCCACUAACAGCCCAGGACUCUGGGAAAUAAUACCUCACAUUGCAACUUGAUCCUAGAGUUUCGGAAAAGCAGACCCCAGGUGGUGAGAAUGGGCAACCUCACCUCCUCUGCAAUGACCCUGAGCACCGGAGACCCCCAAGGCUGCGUACUCAGUCCCCUCCUGUACUCCCUGUUCAUGCAUGAUUGCGUGUCCACACACAGCUCCAACUUCAUCCUUAAGUCUCCUGAGGAGACUCAAGAGGUUUGCCAUGUCUGCAAAAACUCUCACCAACUUCUACAGCUGCACCAUAAAGAGCAUCCUCUCAGGCUGCAUUACUGCCUGGUACGGCAGGUGCUAGCUGCUGAUCGCAAGGCCCUCCAGAGGGUUGUGAAGUCUGCGGAGCGCCAUCUCCCCUCCGUGCAAGGCCUCUACCACACACAAUGCCGUAGGGUAAGCAUGGA
ensembl:lncRNA